UCCUAAGGUUGCAUCAUUUCCCUAGAGUG
rnacentral:piRNA from 1 species